rnacentral:rRNA from 1 species
UACAGAGGGUGCAAGCGUUAAUCGGAAUUACUGGGCGUAAAGCGCGCGUAGUCGGUUAUUUAAGUCGGAUGUGAAAUCCCCGGGCUCAACCUGGGAAUUGCAUUCGAUACUGGAUAGCUAGAGUUCGGCAGAGGGAAGCGGAAUUUCUGGUGUAGCGGUGAAAUGCGUAGAUAUCAGAAGGAACAUCAGUGGCGAAAGCGGCUUCAUGGACCAGAACUGACGAUCAGGCUCGAAAGCGUGGGGAGCAAACAGG